rnacentral:rRNA from 1 species
CCUACGGGGGGCUGCAGUAGGGAAUAUUGCACAAUGGAGGAAACUCUGAUGCAGCGACGCCGCGUGAGUGAUGAAGGCCUUCGGGUUGUAAAGCUCUGUUCACAGGGAAAAAGAAAGUGAUUGUACCUGUGAAGAAAGGACCGGCUAACUUCGUGCCAGCAGCCGCGGUAAGACGAGGGGUCCAAGCGUUGCUCGGAAUUAUUGGGCGUAAAGCGGACGUAGGUGGCUCUGCAAGUCAGGAGUGAAAGCCCUGGGCUUAACCCAGGAAGUGCUUUUGAUACUGCGGAGCUUGAGUGUGGGAGAGGAUAGUGGAAUUCCUGGUGUAGUGGUGAAAUACGUAGAUAUCAGGAGGAACACCGGUGGCGAAGGCGGCUAUCUGGCCCAACACUGACACUGAGGUCCGAAAGCGUGGGGAUCAAACAGGAUUAGAUACCCCAGUAGUC